rnacentral:rRNA from 1 species
CCUACGGGAGGCAGCAGUGAGGAAUAUUGGUCAAUGGACGAGAGUCUGAACCAGCCAAGUAGCGUGAAGGAUGACUGCCCUAUGGGUUGUAAACUUCUUUUAUAUGGGAAUAAAAUGUUCCACGUGUGGGAUUUUGUAUGUACCAUAUGAAUAAGGAUCGGCUAACUCCGUGCCAGCAGCCGCGGUAAUACGGAGGAUCCGAGCGUUAUCCGGAUUUAUUGGGUUUAACGGGAGCGUAGGUGGAUUGUUAAGUCAGUUGUGAAAGUUUGCGGCUCAACCGUAGAAUUGCAGUUGAAACUGGCAGUCUUGAGUACAGUAGAGGUGGGCGGAAUUCGUGGUGUAGCGGUGAAAUGCUUAGAUAUCACGAAGAACUCCGAUUGCGAAGGCAGUUCACUGGACUGCAACUGACACUGAGGCUCGAAAGUGUGGGUAUCAAACAGGAUUAGAUACCCCAGUAGUC